rnacentral:rRNA from 1 species
AGCGAGUGGCGAACGGGUGAGUAACGCGUGAGGAACCUGCCUCAAAGAGGGGGACAACAGUUGGAAACGACUGCUAAUACCGCAUAAGCCCACGGCUCGGCAUCGAGCAGAGGGAAAAGGAGCAAUCCGCUUUGAGAUGGCCUCGCGUCCGAUUAGCUAGUUGGUGAGGUAAUGGCCCACCAAGGCGACGAUCGGUAGCCGGACUGAGAGGUUGAACGGCCACAUUGGGACUGAGACACGGCCCAGACUCCUACGGGAGGCAGCAGUGGGGAAUAUUGCACAAUGGGGGAAACCCUGAUGCAGCGACGCCGCGUGGAGGAAGAAGGUCUUCGGAUUGUAAACUCCUGUUGUUGAGGAAGAUAAUGACGGUACUCAACAAGGAAGUGACGGCUAACUACGUGCCAGCAGCCGCGGUAAAACGUAGGUCACAAGCGUUGUCCGGAAUUACUGGGUGUAAAGGGAGCGCAGGCGGGAAGACAAGUUGGAAGUGAAAUCCAUGGGCUCAACCCAUGAACUGCUUUCAAAACUGUUUUUCUUGAGUAGUGCAGAGGUAGGCGGAAUUCCCGGUGUAGCGGUGGAAUGCGUA